rnacentral:lncRNA from 1 species
AUGAUUUCUUUUUACUUGGUGUUGCCUGGGCUUCAGUUUUCUUCCAGAAUCACAGUAAUAAUUGCUUCCAUUACUGCAGUGGCGUAGCGUGGGUUGUCAGCACCCGGGGCAAGGCAAGUAAUUUGCUCCCCCUAACCCGUGGAUUUGCGCCCCCUAACCCCCAGAUGUUGCGCCCGGUGCGGCCGGCCCCCCCUGCACCCCCCACGCUACGCCACUGCAUUACUGUACCUUCUAGCAUAAUUACAAAGAGCCAUCCCACCCCUUCACUGCCACAUUUUUCCUCUUUCACACUCCCAGGAUUUGUCUGAAGAAUUUUGAAUCCUUUCUGAUACAAGUACGGAAAUCUCAUCAUGACUCAGCUUUAUCAUUUCAUUCCUCCCCGAUAUAGUUCCAUUCAUCUCCUGAAAUUUUCCAGCUGCAAUUAGUUACUGGAUUGUCCUUUUAAAAAAAAUGGUGGGGAGAAGUGUUUUAAUAGGGUUCAUUACCAGUAUAUGCUCAAAACACUUCAUAGACUCAGUCCUUGUUUCAUGGUUUUCACGUUCUCAUGGUUCCUGAUGAAAAUGCUUAAUUUGUGAAUAUUCCCAUAGAGACGUAGCUCAGCCUAUCUCUUCUUGCUCCUAGGCAAGCUACAAAAGGGAAAACUGAAUCAUUAAACUACAAGCCACGUGGUAUCAAUGCCACUUUCGUUUCCUCCCUUCCUCCUCAGAAGAGGGGGAAAUAGAAACCUAAAGGUUUUGUGGGCUGGUCUCUGAGAAUCACUUAAAAACUGGGGGGGGGGGGUGUUGCAACAUGGAACGAGAGUCUAGGUACUGUUUCCAUUGGCGGAGGAUGCUGUCAAUCACUAUCCUCUCCCCAAUAUAGAAAACCUGGUGGAAGUAGCUGCAGAUCUCCGAGGAGAGGCGUGGGUCUCUUAAAGCCAACAUGGUGGGCGUUCCAGUAAUUGCAGCUUUGGGAGGUGCAGCCGGCUUGGGUAAGUCUUCAGUAAUAUGGAUUUCCAGUUGGGCAAAUUUUGGUGAUUAUCUUGCUUGCAGCAGCAUGAAUGAAGCUUGCAAGUCAUUGGAAAUGGUGGAGUUCACAAUGAAAGUCUGGCUUGAUGAGAUCUGUGAAAUGGCUUUGACAGAACACCUGGCAUAUCAAAACAGAAUAACUGAAGGGAUAGCCAAUACCACUAAAUUUAACAAAAUUUGGGUGCCCUUUCUGCAUUAAGCAAGUAUCUAUAUAUUGUAGUAGUCCCACGCUGUGCACCCUAUGGAGCCUUGUGUUUAGAGGGAGGUCAACACAAGGUAGAGGCUGUCGCCUGGGCGAGAUUUCUUCUAUCUUGGUUAAACAUCUGCCUUACAUCAGAUAAAGAUCCUCUCCUCAGCGAUAUUUUAUUAGAUCCCUUUCUUUCUUCAGGGCUACAACAGUUUAACAAGAAGGUACUGUAACUCAGGCUGUCAGUGGAACUUUUGCGGUCGGUGUCCCUACCAUUUUCCAAGGCUGUAUUAAAAACUAGGUUGUGGGAUAUUGAACGCCAAGAACUAACAGCAGCAGCAGCAGAG